AGAUAAAAAUCCUUUAUUGAUUAGCCCAUAAACUGACCUAGGUAAAUCCAUGAACUCCAUUGGAUUAUUCCUUCUGACUAAGCAUAUGAACCAUGAAUUGUCUUAAUAAGAUAAUUCAAUCAAUCCCUUGUUUUGAAAGAACUCUUCAAGGACCAAACGGUCCCUUUCCUUCAUACUUCAUAUAAAUAAAUCGAAAACCCCAGAGUAUAUCUUUCCACGGAUCGAAGGAAAAAAGACAGUUCGAUCGAAUAUUGAUUUUUAGAUUCUUUUAUCUGUUAGAAAAAGAGAUAAUCUACUAUUUUUCCUUUUAGAAAAUCUAAAAUUCAAUAAAUAAAUAAAUAGGAGACUGGAAAUGAAAGUCUCUUUCUCGGAUCUAUUCUUCAUCACACUGGUGGAACAAAACAAAAAUACCGGAUGCAACGAUAUUGAAAUAUUUGGUACAUGAAGCCAUGAUCUGAUAGAUAUACAUCGAAAUCAAUCUACAAUCUACUUAAUAUAAUUAAUAUAUAAUAUAGAUGAAAUUAAUCUUUGAUCUAGAAUCAAAGAAAAAUAAUAAAUGGCUCUUAUGGUGUGCCUUGGAAGAAAGGUUUCUCUGUAGAGGAAAGGAAUAACAAAUUAUUCCGAUAAUUUUUCCUAUAGAAAAUCUAGUAACAAGAAGAUUUAAUCGGAAAUAUCGACAAAUUCUUGUGGAGUCCAAAACAAAAAAAUGAAAUAAAAAAAAUCAACUGCUCCAAUUUCAUCUCUAUCGAAUUUUAAUAUCAGAAUAGCGGAUAUAGUCAUGAUUCAAUAGGUCAGGUCCACUUACUUUUUACUUUUUCUUUUGUUGAUUUCUAACCUUUCGAAUCGAUUUGGUUGGUAUAAUGGAAAAUAGGAAUAUUCGGUGAUUCAAGAAGUGACUUUUCAUUAUUCCUAAAUUCAUACUAAUGAAAAUUGACUAAACAAAUGUUCAACUUUAUAACUAAGUAUAAUGAUAAUGUAUUAUCCAGUUAGUUACUUUUUUUAUUACAAAUAAAAAGAAAAUUCUCCCAUCAAAUAUGAAUACUAGAUUGGGGUUUUACAAAGCCCCUUAUCGGAUUUGAACCGAUGACUUACGCCUUACCAUGGCGUUACUCUACCACUGAGUUAAAAGGGCCUUUUUUAUUUAAUUCCGGAAUUAUUCACUAUGUGGAUAAAAUAUCUAUAUGUACUUAUAUUAUAAACAUAAGUAUAUAUGCAUUAAGUACGUGCAGUAGAUACAUAGUGUCUAGUGGCUCAUUGUUGAAUAAUAAAAUGGAUUUACCUAGGAAGUAUAGGAGAAAAUGCAAUGAAUUGUUUCAAGACCGACUCGAAUAGAAAUAAAUUCAAUUGAAAUAAUUAAAAAAAAUACUACUACUAGAUUUCUAAUGUCGAUUCUAAUGAAUAAUUCGUCAAUGACGAAUAAAAAACAAUUCUAUGCAAUUCUGAAGGGGGGAAAGAUCCCUCGGCUAGAAUCAUUUGAUUAUAUUGACAAUUUUAAAAAACGGAUCAUACUAUCAUCAUAGUAUGAUGGCCGUUGGUCAAGCGGGCCCCCAUCGUCUAGUGGUUUAGGACAUCUCUCUUUCAAGGAGGCAGCGGGGAUUCGAAUUCCCCUGGGGGUAGGGUACUACGAAAGGAAAUUGAUCAUGGAUUACCAAUAAGUUGAAAAUUGAUUCUUCCUGGGUCGAUGCCCGAGCGGUUAAUGGGGACGGACUGUAAAUUCGUUGGCAAUAUGUCUACGCUGGUUCAAAUCCAGCUCGGCCCAAUAAUUCGCCAAUCCGCCAUGAGAUGAUAUAACUCCCUUUGUACUUCAGAAAUACCCGAUCCGGAGAUAAAAAAGAAUCAAAUUUUCUGCUAGAUCCCGUAUUUCCCUGGGAUUGUAGUUCAAUUGGUCAGAGCACCGCCCUGUCAAGGCGGAAGCUGCGGGUUCGAGCCCCGUCAGUCCCGACGGAUCCAAUAAAUAUAUCAAAAAAUCUCUCCCUUUUUCUGAAGGGGACCGGGGGAAGAAUUCCAUUGUCAAAGCAAAGGGGAAAUCCUUAUUUCUUUUUUCUUUCCUUUUGGUAGGAGAAAGACAUAUGCGGUUGGAUUAGUACAAUUAUUGGUAGCAUUAUAGUCAGUAUUCCAAGAAAUGCUGGCUUUUUCGAUUGCCCCCGAUGCAUGUAAUGGAAUCGAGUACUAUACUUUUUUGAGGCGCGCAUACACAAAAGGAAUUCCUUUGUUGUCCAAUACAAAAUUGAAUAUAAGAAAAUACUUUCCAGAAAAAACAAAAAAAAAAAAAAAACAAUUUCUUUUUCUGGCUACGGAUUUAUGGAACCUGACUUACUAGUUUGAAGUUGCAAAAUAGAUUUCAUGCAAAUUGCACACUGAGCUUUUGGUAUAGGUGUCCCGGGGCUAAUAAUCGACGAAGAAAGGAGGGGGAAGGACAGAUCAACCAAAGAUCCUACUCCUCUUAGAAAGGCGAAUGAAUCAUUUUUCCUAUUUUUCAUUUUGUUUUAAGGCCCCAUCGACGAACGAACAAAUCGGAAAAUAGUCAAUUUGAUGAAUAUUCAUUUUAUACGGUCUCAUCUUUAUCACACUUCUUUGUCUUCCAAGUCAAAAAUAGUUUCGUUCUAAACUCCUUUCUUUUUCCAUUUAGCUUUUAUUGUUUGUUUGGGUUUGUAACUAUGUGACCACUGGAAGUGGAAGAGCUAUUUGAUGAGACUUCAUCAGAUGAUUGUACAAGAAGGAACUAGAUAGAUUAGAGAGAAAAAAAGAACAGAUAAUAAAAAAUGAUAAAUAAAUAAAGGAAUUUUGGGUUAGGUCAGCAAUCCGAGUUUGGGGCGGUAUGGAUAAAAGAACUUCCUAUGUUAUACUAUUCAAUUCUCGACGACGAAUUUAUUUGAUAGUUCAGAUAUUGUUAUUCAUGAUAUUGAUCUGAUUCAAGAUCAUCGAGAGGUAAUAUUCAUUCAUUGAAUUUACAGGCCAAAGAUUUAUCAUCUCUAUGGGAUUAAAUCCCGAGUUAUUGCGAAGUAAAAAACCGAUGAGAUUAUGGAAGUAAAUAUUCUUGCAUUUAUUGCUACUGCACUAUUUAUUCUAGUUCCUACCGCUUUUCUACUUAUCAUUUAUGUAAAAACAGUCAGUCAAAACGAUUAAUUAUUAACUAAUUUGAAUGAAACUUGACUUCUGAGUUCUUAGCCAAAAUUGACGAAAUAAAAUGAAAAAGAUUCCAAUUUCAUGUCUUAAAUGAAAUGAGUGGACUAGAAUCGGCAGUAUUCUAAUAGAUAGAUAGUAUGGUAGAAAGAUUCAUCUAUUUCUUUCUACCAUACUAUUUAUUAGUUAGAUUCUUGUUAUAAAGCUGCCCCCUGGAAUAAAAUAAAGAUAGAGGCUGCAUUUGAUAUGGAUCUAUAUAUCAAUCUACAAUAUUAUCUUGAUAUAUGUGAAUAUCAAUUCCAUAUAUGGGAUUGACAUAGCAUCCAAUUCCAUUUAUUUGCUAUAUCUAUUUGUUCUGAUCAAUCUGAAUUACUCCUAUGUCUUAUAGUUUGAAUUACUAUAUUUUUGAUUUCCAAUAUGAAUCUCAGUAUCUAUUGAGAGAAUCAAAUCAAUGAAGCAAAAGCGAUAGAUAUAGGCAUAUUCAAAAAAUCACGUAGUAAUCUUUUUUUUUUUAACAUUCCUAAGAAGUAAACCAUUGACAGUAGUUCCACGGGCAUCGAAAAGGAAGAGUAAACCUCACUGAUUUUUAAGGCCUGAACCAUGAUAUGAAAUAAGUCGAUAAAGUCUAAAUCCAAUUUCCAAAAUUCGAAAGGUAAAUGCGCAAUAUGUGACUCACCUGACGAUCUUAUUCUAAAUAGUAUCUCGUUAGACAACCACUAUGUUUAUAUCCUUUCUUUCUCAUACAAAGUGCGUAUACACUUAACAAAACCACUUUUUCUUUGAACAGUAAAGAGAGAACCAAAUAAAAAACGGGUCCGGCCCUCCUCAGUAUCACCUAGGAAGAGGCCAUUGAUUGGAAUAGAAAAUUUAGUAAGAAUUAGGUUCGAAUAAAUUUCCUGGGAUCCUUUUCCUUUCGAACUACAAACAUGGGAAUCGUUGAAAUAGCUCUUUGAUUGAAAGAGGCUGAUUCCUAUAAUACAUUACUCCAGUCGAGUCCAAUGGAAUUUCAAAAUGAAGAUAUUUUUAUUUUGUUCCAAACGUGUUGCAGAACCAUCUAGAAAGCAAUUGAUAAUGAUACAGUUUGCUUCCUUAACUCAAUUAGCAGAACCCCUAGAGUCCACUCCUUCCCCACACUACGAGUGAAAGGGAAAAAGUAAAGACUACCAUUAAAGCAGCCCAAGCAAGACUUACUAUAUCCAUAUGAAUUAUGUCCCCUAUCUCUAUAAAUAUAAAGGAAUUGUUCCAUUAUUCCUCACUAAUAAUAGUAGAAUCAAUGGCGCAGAGUCAAAAAGAACGAAGACUAUUAAUAAACCAAUCCAAUAAAUUCGCUCAUUUUAUAAGAAAUUUCUAUAUGAUUUAUAAUCGGGAAAGAUUAAACCCAAGCAAAAUCCGCAGUAACAUCUCAAGGGAAUGUUACUAAUGGAACAUGUAGGAAUAAUAGGUCCUAUUCUUUUUUUGUUGACCCUCAUUUGAAUUGAUUGGAUGCUUGAGCACUGAGAUAUUUUCGUGAGUUCCUCGUAUAUAAUAAAGUAUCUUCCGCCCCCUUCCACAACUAUUUCGAUUUCCUAUCGGGCUCUCCAAGGUCCAGUCAUUAUACAAUGGAUUAAUAAUAGAAAAUUUUGAUUUGUAGUAGAAGGUAAUUGCGAAGUCUUGAUAGCCCCUCGAGCAUUCGAAUAUUUACUUGAAAGCUAAGCCUAAAUAUGCAAUGCAAGGAUAUUUACAAUUUUUUCUAAAAACACCCAGACCAAAACAAGUAUCAACAGUCUGCUUUCUCUGCUUCUGCUGGCGAAUCAUUCGGCGGGUUAUAUCAACAGAAGAAAAAAAGAGAUUUCCAGUUUUUUGUUGAUCAGGCGACACCCGGAUUUGAACUGGGGAAA
rnacentral:lncRNA from 1 species